rfam:Gossypium raimondii Chr06_contig_387, whole genome shotgun sequence.
GAGUGCGAUUAUACCAGCACUAAUGCACCGGAUCCCAUUAAAACUUCGUAGUUAAACGUGAUUGGGCGAGAGUAGUACUAGGAUGGGUGACCUCUUGGACAGUCCUCGUGUUGCACCCC